rnacentral:rRNA from 1 species
AAAUUUUUUAAAUAGCCGCAAAUUAUUUGUGCUAAGGUAGCAUAAUCAUUUGUUUUUUAAUUAAAAACUAGAAUGAAAGAUUUUACAUUUUAAUUUCUUUAUUAAAUAUAAUUUAUUAAUUUAUACUAAAUAUAAAAAUAUAUUUAUAAAAUAAAAAGACGACAAGACCCUAUUAAAUUUUACUUAUUGUUUAGCUGGGGCAGCUUUUUAAAUAAAACUUUAAAAUUUAUAAAUAUAAUAAUAUAUUUAUAUUAAAAUUAAAAAAUCUAUUAUAAAUAAAUUAAUCUAAUUACUAUAGGGAUAACAGCGUUAUAUUUUUUUCAAGUUCAUAUUUAAAAAAAUCAUUGCGACCUCGAUGUUGAAUUAUAUUUCUUUAUUAAUGCAAUAAUUAUAAAAGUAGGUCU